UUGCCAAAUACUUUCUUGUAUUUUUUCUACUCAUGAUCUACAUAUCAUAGAAUAAUUUUAAGACAGAUUCUCACAUGCCCUCCUUAUUUAAAUCUUGAUAUUAUCAUCAAAAUAAAAAUUUAAAUCUAUUUUAAUUUAAUUUAUAAAUAUUAUAAUCAACUCAUUGUUAAUCUCAAUAGACCUAUGGUGCAUUGUCUCAUAGUCCACAUAAAUUAUGAAUUAGAUUG
rnacentral:lncRNA from 1 species